AGCAGCUGCUGGUGGCUGUUCUGAUUCUUGACUGUGUUAUGUGUAGUGACUGUGUUUUACCAAGUCUGUAAAAUGCUAUUGCUAUAAGUAAUUGUGAUGUUAACUAUGUUAAACUAUAAAAUGCAAAGCAAAACUUCUUGAUAAGCUAUGAAAUACCUGAAGAGUGGCUACAAAAGUAAUACAUCACGCAGAGCAUCACCUCCAUAACCUUGCAGAGUUCAGCCAUGCCAAAGAUCAAGAAGGCUACUAAAUUGUUUGUUUUAUUGUCAUCCUUUGUUUCCUUCCCCCCUCCUUGUUUUUGUUUUGUUUGUGUUAAAAUUAAUGUAUUUUAACUUGUAUAGUAGAAAUAGUAAUGUAAUGUAGUUUUAUUAAUUCCCAGAAUUUGUGCAAAGAUUAGAAACGCAAAGUAAAAUCAUAAAAUCCUAAGGAAAACCAGGGCCUUCUUGUACAGACAGCAUACCUAGUUUCCACAGCAAGUUAAA